CGCUAGUAGUCAGAGAUGUAACAAUAAAAAGAUAUGCUCUGAAAGUGUCUUGGGGUGUUCUGUGGAGUCAUUUCUCCAGUGCAGCUGGAGCCGGAGACGUCCGAAGCCUGUUGAGGAGAUGGAGCUGAUCAACAUGCCGGGAUUUGGGUGCCCGAUCGUGUGGUAUGUCCUGUGGGGCCCGAGUUUGGGGAUGACAAUAUGUCAAUCGACACACCGACAAGAACAGAGGUGGACCACCUUGACGCCGGCUGAGGAGCGUGACAUGGAUAUCAGAGGAGAAUGGUUUUAGGCAUUGUUGCAGAAACCUCCGUUGGUGCAUUUAGUGGGGUGGGAAGAAAGAACCCCUGCUUUUCGGUUAGUAGGAAAUGUAUCUAUGUUGACGAGACAUGGUCAAAGACAUUCUUCAUUUCCGCACCUGAUAACUAAUGUCAAUUUUACUUUUCUUACGGGCUCUCCUCCCAUUUGUAUUCAUCAUAGCAUGACAUCGGAAUGGUGUGGGAGAUUGAUCCCUUAUAAUAUUACCACAGGAAGGCAUCCUGCCACGGACAUAAACCAACAUCCCACUAGACUUAAUAUAACAGUACGAUCUUUUCAGCGCAAUGUAAUGGAAGGCAACAUCACGAGGAAUAAAGUGUCAAUGGUUCCUUUGCCUCUGUGUAUAGUGGGAGAAAUGACUACUUGGACUCCUAUUGUCCCUUGCUCUACCAGAUAUAGAACUGAAGCGAAGAUUGCCCACAUAACUUUGUCUUUUUGGGAUGGACUCCAGAAUUUGACAUAUACACAAUUACCUAUGCCGGUUCCUUGUACUAACAAAGGUUUUUGUCAUGUUACCUUGGGACAAUUAGGAUUUAUUGUAAAGAAUACUGAGAUUUUUAUUGAGACCUGUAAAUGUAGUAGUUGUAAAGAUUAUACGUAUCAAAUAUGGAAUCAAAUUUUUGCCAAUGGAAGAAAUUACACGUUGGGUCAUACCUCCCAAUGUGACGUUUUUCAAUACCAUUUCACAGGGGCUCUUGUUGCUCCUACGAAUUAUGCUUGGUUACUCUGUCUCUCUGUUAAUGUGAAUCCAACUAUUUUGGGUUUAUUUCAAACUGAAGUGGCUUUAUGUAUUGUUACUGCCUAUGUUAAUAGUACCUUACUGCAACAGUAUCCUUAUUUGUUUAUAAUUCGACAACCUUUAUAUACUCUCAUACCUGUAAAAGCUGCUUUACCUUGGGCCAGUUUGGCUGCAGAGGCUGUAUGGGUACAGCUAGCAGGAGCUGUGUGAUCCCACCCUAAGCGAGAAUUAGUUGAGUUACUUUUUGAUGUUGUUAAUCUUGCUAUAUCCGCUUUUCAGGAAUUUCAAAUUCAGCAACUAUAUCAAGGUAUGGGGUAUUUAGCAUCCGAAUUAAAAACUUUUAUGCAAAAAGAAACUAAGGCAUGGGAUAUGCAAACGCGCAUCGUUGCCGCUUUAAAUAAGAACUGAAGGCCUUGGAAGAGACUGUUUUAACAAUAGGGGAUGAAUUGGCUUUACAUGAAUUGCUUUCCUCUGUUGUAUAUCAUUAUCGCUAUAAGCCGUGGUUGUGUGUUACCAGUUUACCUGUCAACAGUACUUCCACGUUUCCUGGCCAUUGGGCUAGGUUCGUGAACAUUUACAAGGUGCCUUUUUAUCUGACAAUAUCACAUCUGAAUUACAUCAACUGGGUUUGUUAAUUAAGGAUAUUCAGCAGUUAUCUGAUAAUUUCACUAUACCCUCGUCUUCCACUCAGGAUUUUGUCUCCUGGAUGACACGCAAAUUUGCUUGGUCAUCUUUGGUUGCCCUUAUUACUCCUUUUAUAUACUUUGCUCUUUGUGUCUGUAUACUUUGCUGUGCCUGGCGCUGGUUUCUGACUUUACUGAAGGGUGCCUUCUUGCGUUUUCGCGCUGAUCUUUUUCCUCUUGGCAGUCCACCGCAAAACAAGAAAAGGGAAGUGUAAGGGUCAUUUGUGAGAUGACUCUGUCCUUACCUGCAGGAGUGCACAUGAUUGCCUGGGAGUAUUAAGGUGGAUCUGCGCAUGUCAAAAUAAAUGAGCAGACGUGGCAACAAAGCUGAUGCGCAGGUCAGUUAAGUUGCUCACGUGCAAUGGCUCAUGACAUGUUUAAGCAAGAAUCCUCUUUGCUUUCGGGGCAGGACAUGAUUGGCUUACUGUGGGCUGGCGAGAAAGGAGUGGACAAAGAGAGGAAUAGAGAAGGAGGUACGCGGAAGGAGGGGCAGAGCCGCGCUAGUAGUCAGAGAUGUAACAAUAAAAAGAUAUGCUCUGAAAGUGUC